UUUAAAAAACCAUUAAAGAAAAACAAGCUGUAUUUAUUACAUGCUUGACAACGCGUUGAGGUUGACGGUUGUAUGACAUAUUAUAUUUGUGUCGAAGAGAAUUUAUCGUUAAACAUAAAACAAUAAAGAUUCAUUAUGUGAAUAAAGAUUAAAAAACUUCAUAGGUAACGUUUUACUUGAACAAAAUUUAUUUGUAAUUACAGAUACAUUUUGUAAUUAGUUGUUUAAAUAUUUUCGGCCAGUCGAUAGUAAUCAUGUUCAACGGAAAUAGUAAGCAGAGUAUGGAGAAGCGUAAGUGUAGGCGGAGUACGCAGCAUAUGGAGCAGUGUAUGCUGAAUACGCUACGGGUGCUGUGUAUGCCACAGGCAGCAGUGGCUUGGCGGCAGCUAGGGCCAGGAAACAGGCAAAGACGAACUGCAAUCAAAUAAAUACAUUUACUAGAAAAC
rnacentral:misc_RNA from 1 species